AGNGAAGAAAGGCAGCCAGAAACUACC
rnacentral:piRNA from 1 species